rnacentral:rRNA from 1 species
UACGAAGGGGGCUAGCGUUGCUCGGAAUCACUGGGCGUAAAGGGUGCGUAGGCGGGUCUUUAAGUCCGGGGUGAAAUCCUGGAGCUCAACUCCAGAACUGCCUUUGAUACUGAGGAUCUUGAGUCCGGGAGAGGUGAGUGGAACUGCGAGUGUAGAGGUGAAAUUCGUAGAUAUUAGGAAGAACACCGAUUGCGAAGGCAGCUCGCUGGGACGUUACUGACGCUGAGACGCGAAAGCGUGGGGAGCAAACAGG